UAACUCUUGGGGAAAAUGAAAAAGAAAACUAUGUUGAUUCAAACUUUAAAUACACGUGUAUUUAUGUAUAUUUCUGUGUGGGCAUGUGUGUACCAAGCAAUACACACUUGCUAUCAUUGCAACACAGAUUUAUGCAGAAUUCUUUGAGAUUCAUAAGUAGGCUACCACUCAACCUGUGUUCAGAAACCUUCUGAGGCAGGAUGGAAAAGGGGACUUGUGGGCACAUUAUGUCUUCACCCAACUGAGCACUAGCGACAAUAAAUGAAGAAAUUACUGACAAUAUUUCAGGGGAGAAACAGAGAUCUAAGAAGCUAUGGCAUAAGUGCAAGUCCAAGGUGAGGCAUUGCAUGGUGGCUAGGGGCUCUGCAUAGUAAGCGACACAGCCUAAGGGAUGUGAGCUUGAAGUUCCCUGAUGAAGCCACAUCUGUCUUGAAGAGUCUAGACUGACUGGUUGACUAGAACUUCAUGUCUGUGAAGUGACAGCAUGCUGUAGAUUGAGAGACAGAAUUAUCUUGAGCUAUCUUUAAUCUAUCUUAAUAGCCAUUUAUUACUAACCCCUGUGUCUCAUUUGACACGCUUAUUAUUUGUAGGUGCAGUCUUUGAAAUAUAUUGCUGAACUUAGCCAACAUCUCGUUUCCCCAAACCCUAAAAGUAAAAAUUUUGUAAGCUAGCCCCUGAAACUCACAUAACAGACCUGUCAACUCUAGUGUGUCACCUGAUGUCCUCAUCAACUUGGUAAACUGUUUUGUUUUUAACUUCCUUCUGUUCUGUACCACCUAUCUUUCACUUGUCCUUGCCUUAGAGUAAAACCUGUCCAACAAGAGCUGUCUCUGGCAUCAACAGGUGGCUGUGGAGAAGGUGAAGUUGGAUGGAACAACUGGGAAGAGGAGAGUUAUUGGCAUAGGCAUGAGACCCACCCAGUACAUAGCAGAAGAGGCCGGAGGGAGGCACUAGCUCUACUGAGCUACAAGACAGACUGGUGAACUUCCUGCUUACAGGACAGGCUUCAGCUCUAGCCCUUAUCCUGUCUCUCAUGCUUUACUGGAGCACUUGGUACAUUACCAGGAAACUUCAAGAUAGCUCUAUAGAAACGCACAACAUUCAUACAUAUACUUUGCAAAACUUUGAUAUGUGCACACUGACACACUGUAUUAAGACUUGAUACAAUAUCAAGCCAACUUACCCAUUAAUAGAUCUGAAAAGUUCUGCAUAUUCUACAUGUGUAAGAUCAAGCCUGAAAAUAAUAAAAACAGUUUUACAAAUCAAA